GCACUAUUUCCUUGCCUUCCUAGAAGCUCUUGCUUGUUCCCUCCCAUUCAACCAGCAGAGUUGUACGACAAAGUAAAGGAAACGCUGAAAACUUGAACCUGCUAUUCUCCAGCUGCCUUGGCCUGUCUAACUAGCUCACUUGUUUUCUUUCCCUGCCGGUCGCCUGUGCAUGCUUCUCUCAUUGUCUGUCGCUUUCUCCCUUCCUCACUCUUUCUCCGGGCUGUAUGUAAGAGGAUCACUUUGUUUCCGCUGCCUUUUUUCGCGGUGCUGCAUACACACACUGAGGAAAGGAUUGGAUUUAAGGAGAUACUGACGGGGGUGCACAGCUGCAACAGUCCCCUCCAUCCCCACACCAGGACUAAUGCUCCCUCUCUCUCUUUCUCUCUCUCUCUCUUUCUCUCUCUCUCUCCUUCACCCCUGAGUGUUUGACUCUCCCUCUGUCGCACUCUCUGCUUCUCCCUCUCGGAGGGGUGGGGGUGCCAUAUGGGAGCUCAGAAAAAUGGAAGUGGAUCGGAGAGCGACAAGAGAGGAAUCUCUCAUUUUUAGGCUCGGAUGUCGGGAUCUGUGUGAGAGGCAAGAUUAAAAACUGCCAGCAAAAUCAUCCUGAGAAUGAUACAUCCAUGAAGAGCCCUGGCAAUUGUCUUUUUCCCCAUGCUCACAGUGAUGAGGAUGAAGAGGAAGAACAAAGGUGGGAGGGCGGAGGGGGGUUGAAGUGAAGUGGAGGAGGCGUUUCCUGCCGUCGCAGAGCUGGGACAAGUCAAGCUACCACCCACCCUCCCUGUACUUUUCUCCCUUCAGCCCCUUAUUAGUAUGCGGCAGCUGUUGCUCAGGUGACAUGGCUGCUGGAUUCAGUCCCGACUGCAGGAACAUCAGCAGCGUGGCAGAGAGUGGGAUAGCAGGUAAGGACAAUGAAAACAGGAGGGAGGUAGAGGGGAAAGGGGAGGGGGGAGGACAAGCAAGCAAAGAGAUGGACUUCUUUUAAGGACUUAACAGCCCCCUCACAUAUACACAUAUAUUACACUGCUGCAUUACAUACACACAUAUAUUUUCAAGUUUAAGCCCAGUCCCCAUCUCAAGUGUGUUUUAUUUACAUAACUUAAAAUGACCACUAUUUGCUGCCAGUUGACUUAUUGAAGUAAGGAAUAUCUGAGUUGUGCAGUUGGUCCUGAGUUAAUACAAUUUUCACUACUUUACAUGGUGGAGUUUUGCAAAUGCAUUCAUUUGGAUUUUUUGUAUUAAAUCUGCAAUAUAUAUGUCUUAAUAGGAAAUACAUUAACUCUAAAUGUUACUAUGUUCAUUUUAAUAUGGCAAAAAAAGGAUUUCAAUAAGUGUCUCUGUUGUGUGUUUAGUUAUUUACAGAUGUAAUGUUUUAUUCCAUGAAAGCAAACAAUAAAGAAAUCGUGCAGUUCCCUCCAAAAUAU
rnacentral:lncRNA from 1 species